AAUAGAGCCAACAUUCAGCCUAUAGGACCACAUUAUUCACAAUUCAGUUGUCAACAAAACACACACUGUGCACCUGGGUAAAUGCCCGUCAUUAAAAGUAAUGUUUGACUUUAUUGUACCAUAAGAUUUUCUGAAUGGGUCAACUCUAAAUUAAGAAUAGGAUGAUAUUCUCCUUCUUGUAACAAAGGCUAUUGGCUAUUAGUUCACAUGAAGUUUAUUUGACAACAACAUGAGAAUCAUUCCCUUCAGUGCCUUUAAUCAUAUAAUCUUCCCCCAUCCCUACAAAGACAAAUAUGAUAUCCAUGCCUAAAACAGACUGUUUUACACAAAGUAAUCCACACUCUCUGAAAUUGCCAGUCUUUUAUUGGUAAAGGACAGUGUACAGGGAGUAACCUGUGAGGAGCUACAGCCCUGUAAUAGGAGCAAAAUGUCAUGCAUAGCCUGUUUUUAUUGGUCGUUGUGGCACAAUCUGCCCUUUUCCCUUCCCAGAUGCCAUUGUUAAAAAGGUGGUUUUAAUGCGCUGCACCAGAUGGGCUCUCCUACAGGUCGGACUGGGAGUGUUUACCAUCCACUGGUGUGUGGAUAACAGAUAAUAGAGGUGGUCCCAGGCAUGGUGCUCAGGUCAAGUUGGCUGGCCCUGGAAGGAAGUAUCAGAAGGCACUGCACGGAACCCCACUUCUCUGUUGGGAUAGCUAUCUGUCCUCCUGGAAACCACAGGCUGUCCUGAACACCAGGGGAACACACCAAUACAACAGCCUUAACAGGAUUUUCCUUAGCUGAGUACUGUGCUGGACUAUUGUCUCUGUCUUUCACUCUUUUCUAUUCUAUGUUUCUAGAAUGACACUAUUAUUGUCAUCACAUACAUUUGAAGAGCGGCUUUCUAGUAAACUAGGAUUUAUUUCACCAUUGAGUUAGUGAUUGUGUCCUCAGUUGAGAAUGAUAUGGAUAAUUGUGGUAGUUAAACUUCAUGAUGCCAUAACACUGUUUGCUGAUAGCUACUUUAUUGAGAAGAAAUGUACUUAUUAUGACUGUGAUAUGUGGUGGUCUCACCUAGAUAUCUAAGAUGAAAGCACUGUUAGUCUGCUAAAUUACUGUCUGUUCAAUGACUAAAAUGUAACACUGAUUAAAAGUGAAAGAUCCCAUUAUAUAUUCACCACUAUGUUGUCUACUAAAAAUCAUCAUUCACAUGCAAAUCCAGUAUCAUUUCCAUGUAGAUAAGGUGUAUGCCCACAAACAUAGAAAGGAUAGAAAACUAGAGAGUGGAGGAUCUUGAUUUGAUUAACUAAUCAUAUUCUUUGUAAUCCCACUCGGCCAUGGAGUGCAGCGCAUGGCUGUGGACUCCAAUCACACAACACAUGAUUAGUAUGCGGCAAAUCAGCUCAAGGAACCUACAUCCAUACACUACACUACAGAAUAGUGGUGAUGAACCACACAACUAACAGAUACAGAGUUUAUUUCAGCCAAAUCCGACCCCAGUGCACUCAACAUAGGGCAACAAUCUCUUAACAAUAACUGUUAACAUCAGAAGGGUUUAAGUGGGAGAUGAUUGGGGUCUUUUAAUCCUCUGCCAAAUGCAUGCAGGUUGUUUGUAGUUAGGUAGGACAAAAAGGUCCACUACUAUGUGCCCAGAACAGUGCAUUGUUUUUAAAGGAGGACCUCAAGCAACAAGAUAAAUUGAAACACAUACACAUACAUCUAAACUAUACUAUCCUCCAGGUUAUUUGACCCUACCUAAUACCAGCAGAAUCCCAACUAGCUGAACCGGUAAGCUCCCUGGUAAUACCAGAGUAAGCACACAACACCACUUCCAGCUCCCUGACAGGCAUCUCUACAAGGUCCCUACAGGGUCUCUACAGAGUCUCUUCAGAGUCUCUACAGGGUCUCUAAAAGGUCUCUACAAGGUCUCUACAGGGUCUCUACAGGGUCUCUACAGAGUCUCUACAGAGUCUCUACAGGGUCUCUACAGAGUCUCUACAGAGUCUCUACAGGGUCUCUAAAAGGUCUCUACAAGGUCUCUACAGGGUCUCUACAGAGUCUCUACAGGGUCUUUACAGGGUCUCUACAGGGUCUCUACAGAGUCUC
rnacentral:lncRNA from 8 species